UUUUCUAUAGCUCGCAGCCUCCCCACCCGCAACGAGCAUCCUUACUCCCUUGCGAUAAAAGCAGGGGUUUUGGAUGAUCUACAAGGUGUACGAAGUUGCACCCUCCGCCGUGGAGUGAGGUUAUGAAUGGAAAGAAGAAAUAAAUGAAGACCCUGAAGUCCUAAUGAUUAUCAAGACCCGGUCCUCACGUUUGGAAGAAUUGACUACAAUGGUUAAGGAAAACCAUCCCUAUGAAGUUUGUGAAGUCAUCUCUUCCCCAGUAAGUAGAUGAGCGGAGGUUC
rnacentral:lncRNA from 1 species